rnacentral:lncRNA from 1 species
CACUCCCUGAGCCUAAUAGGUAGUUUAAGACCUCAGAUCAGUGACUGUAACUGCCAUUGACUAAAGAACUCCAGUUGGACAGGCGUUUUUGCCACUGUCCCUAAAAGAUGGCAUUUGGUUGACAUUCAUUCCAAAAGCAUGAUGAAACACACUAAAAAUCUGUGGUGCCUUUGUCCUCGGAAAGAGAAGAUGGCAAGGGUUUAUAUUUCUCGUUUGGCCAGGAGUUCAGUUUCCCUGCAAGCCCCAGAGGGUGGGUGGUAACAAUGGGACAUGUUUGGCUCCUCAUCCUCCUGCUGACAGCCAGGUCUCAGAGAGGCAAGUCCCACACUUCCCAAACUCUGGAUCCGAGCUCUGCCGCCGCCGGAGGAAAGGCUUCUAACUGGUUAGGAAGCACAGAACUUGCCUGGCCUUCACCAGCAUUAUCAGAUCUGUCAUUCUCUUUAGGAACUGGCUCUGCUCUAGGCCUUGUUCUUUGCUCCAGAGGUAACAAUUGCCAUUUUUCUUUGGUAUUUCUGCUGUAGUGAUCAUACUUGCCCUUCUCAUAGGAAACCAUGGGAAUCAGCCCAAGUCACAGCUGGCUUCCAGAUGGCUCUUGAUCCUGUGACACCACCAACAUUCCAAUGCUGAUUUGCUUGGGAGGUUCAAACUUGGCUUGCCGGGGCACCAUGCUUCUGGAACCCCACCCUGGGAGAUUUAUAGGCAGGCCUUGGAGAGAACAAAUCUCUAGAGGUGGGAUGGAGCCAAG